AAUAAGAUGCCUGAUUAAAGGGUUAUUUUGAUAGAAUAAAUCAAGUAUUUACCGAUACUCUUAUUG
rnacentral:tRNA from 1 species